UUACCCAUGUCACUGUGGAUACAAGCAAAAAGUCCUCGAAUUUUCUGCCUGUCUGAUUGUGACAGCCCAGAUUAAAUGGCGGAAUACAGGA
ensembl:snoRNA